rnacentral:misc_RNA from 1 species
UGAUUACCGAUUGAGCGCUUGCUCGGGCUUUGAUUAGAUGCUAAACUGGCCUGAAUUUUUUCACAAGUUUCACAUUGAAUCUUCAUGCACAUACAGAAUUAUUCAGAACUGAGAAAAUAAAUAACCGUUCAAUUUAAAAUAUAGCUGCUCAGGAAAACUCUUAUAACCUGCAUGCCUCUACAAGUGAAGUGAGUGCUCAAUGAAAAUCACUCCCUUAGCCAAGGUGCUUGAGCUGGUAUCCACUGACAUAAUUCACCUUCCUUAAACC